rnacentral:rRNA from 1 species
UUACAAAGGGCGCAGGGCGGAUGCCUUGGCACCAGGAGCCGAAGAAGGACGUGAUAAGCUGCGAAAAGCUGCGGGGAGGAGCAAAUAUCCAUUGAUCCGCAGGUAUCCGAAUGGGGAAACCCGGCAGAAAGAACUUCUGUCAUCGUAUGAUGAAUCCAUAGUCAUACGGAGGGAACCCGGCGAACUGAAACAUCUAAGUAGCCGGAGGAAGAGGAAGAAACAUCGAAUCCCUAAGUAGUGGCGAGCGAAAGGGGACGAAGCCCAAACCAAGGAUUUAUCCUUGGGGUUGAGGACCACGUACGAAGAAGCAGUAGGUAGCAGAACGGUUUUGGGAAAGCCGGCCAAAGAGAGUGAAAGCCUCGUAUGCGAAACAGACUGUGAUUCAGUGGUAUCCGGAGUACUACGGGACACGAGAAACCCCGUAGGAAGCAGGGGGGACCACCCCCCAAGGCGAAAUACUACCUGGUGACCGAUAGAGUAUAGUACCGUGAGGGAAAGGUGAAAAGAACCCCGGGAGGGGAGUGAAAGAGAACCUGAAACCCUGUGUCUACAAGCUGCGGAAGCACGACUAACGUGCGACCGUGUACUUUUUGUAGAACGGUCCGGCGAGUUGCCGUUGCUGGCAGGUUAAGUACUUAAGGUACGGAGCCGAAGGGAAACCAAGUCUUAAUAGGGCGGUAAGUCAGUAACGGCAGACCCGAAACCGGGUGACCUACCCAUGGCCAGGAUGAAGUCUGCGUAAAAGUGGAUGGAGGUCCGAACACACGUCUGUUGAAAAAGGCGGUGAUGAGCUGUGGGUAGCGGAGAAAUUCCAAUCGAACUCGGAGAUAGCUGGUUCUCCCCGAAAUAGCUUUAGGGCUAGCCUCGGUAUAGUCUAAUGGAGGUAGAGCACUGAAUCGCUGCGGGGGCGUCAAAGUCUACCAAUGCGUAUCAAACUCCGAAUGCCAUAUAGAUGUUUACCGGGAGUCAGACUGUAUGAGAUAAGUCGGACAGUCAAAAGGGAAACAGCCCAGACCAUCUGCUAAGGUCCCAAAGUGUAUGUUAAGUGGUAAAGGAUGUGGGGUUUCGAAGACAACUAGGAUGUUGGCUCAGAAGCAGCCAUUCAUUCAAAGAGUGCGUAAUAGCUCACUAGUCGAGAGGUCCUGCGCCGAAAAUGUCCGGGGCUGAAACAUAACACCGAAGCAAUGGAAUAUACCGUAAGGUAUGUUGGUAGGGGAGCAUUGAUAACACGAAGAAGCGGUACCGUAAGGAGCCGUGGAGGGUUAUCAAGAGAGAAUGCCGGAAUGAGUAGCGAGAUGAAGGUGAGAAUCCUUCAGGCCGUAUAUCCAAGGUUUCCAGGGUAAAGCUGAUCUUCCCUGGGGAAGUCGGGACCUAAGCUCAGGCUGAGAAGCGUAGGCGAUGGACAACUGGUUGAUAUUCCAGUACCUCUGGCUAUCAGAAAUGUGGGGACACGGAGAUUCAGGGAGUGCCUGUAAAGGAUUCAGGUGCAAGCAUGGUUUAUGCCGGGCAGGCAAAUCCGCCCGGGUAAGUGGACUGUGUGACGCGGACCGAAAUAUAAGUAGGGAAGCUUCUGGGAGAGCCGUCGAGAAAAGCCGCUAUUGUGCAGCCAGAGCCCGUACCGUAAACCGACACAGGUGGAUGGGGAGAGUAUCCCAAGGCCGGCGGGAGAAGCAUUGUUAAGGAACUCGGCAAAAUGGCCCCGUAAGUUCGCGAUAAGGGGUGCCUGUAGAGAUACAGGCCGCAGAGAAUAGGCUCAAGCAACUGUUUAGCAAAAACACAGGUCUAUGCGAAACCGUAAGGUGAUGUAUAUGGGCUGACGCCUGCCCGGUGCUGGAAGGUUACGGGGAGUGCUUAGGAGUAAUCCGAAGGUACGAACUUAAGCCCCAGUAAACGGCGGCCGUAACUAUAACGGUCCUAAGGUAGCGAAAUUCCUUGUCGGGU